UCAAACUUGGUCAUUUAGAGGAAGUAAAAGUCGUAACAAGGUCUCCGUUGGUGAACCAGCGGAGGGAUCAUUACAGAGUUAUUAAACUCCCAACCCUUUGUGAAUCUUUUAGUUCUGUACCAACUGCCUUGCGGCAGGCAGCCCCAGGGCGGGGCCUGUGGCCUAGGCAUUUUUCUUAGGUGCCUGCCUUAGGGCUAUAAACCCUUUUAAAGUUAUUUGCUGUCUGAGUUAUGAAAAAAAUUACCAAAACUUUCAACAAUGGAUCUCUUGGCUCUGGCAUCGAUGAAGAACGCAGC
rnacentral:misc_RNA from 1 species